UGCACUUACCAGAGCCACCGAAGGAAAUGCCAGGUACGAGCGCACGCUUCCUGCGAAACUCUGCACGUCGUACACAUGUGGGAGGGCGCCGGCCGUUAAAGUAGGUAGCCAAGCCCCUCCCACAAAUACAGGCCAAUGAAUCGGCCUU